GAGCGUAGCUUCCUUGUCGUGUGGCCUCAGUCCUUCGCCGUCCCUCGCCGUCCUUCGCCAUCGCACGCCACCGCACCCCAUCUCUCGAAAUCUGCAGACAUCUUGAUUUUUCCCACGCUGUCUGUCAGGUCUCCGCCGCCACUCGACGCCAGGGCGCCGGGUGAGUCCACAGCAGGGCGCAUGGUCGGCUCCACUCUCACCAUCGGGGGAAACUGAGGCCCCGGGGAAGGCGGCCAGAGAGGUCAGGCCCUGUCCUUGGUGCAGUGUCUCGUCCUCUUUGCCGGAGUGAGCCCCCCAGGAUUCGCGUGUCCUCGGGAAAGACACUGGCAGGAGUGUCACAUGACUGCCGCCCCAUGUGUGUGAGAGGCGUCCUCUGGGAGAGCAUGGAUCCUGAGGUCCCAGGAUUGUCAGCUGACCUCUGUCCUGUGUGCCCAGUGGCCCCAGGUGACGUGUCUUCAAGAAGAGGCUGAGCUGCGGUGCUUGUAAGAGUCAUGUGCUGUUCCUGGGGCUUGGAUGAUGUAGGGGAAGCAAGGUGAAAGUGGUAUCCCGUGGUUCCACGUUCUGUCCUGCUGUGGGGCUGUCCCUCACAUGCUUUCAGUGGCUGUUGCAGAGGAAGAGCCUCCGGAAAUCUGCGUGGGUCUCAGCCUUAGAUCCAAGGACAGUCCAAGGAAGUCCUAAGACCAUGGAGUUGGUGAUCUGGGAUCUGGGUUUGCUGAUAUUUCUCACCGUGAAUCUCUUGGUGGUGUUUGUGGGCACGAGAGGGGCAGAGAAUGGAGAGUGAGGCUACCACAUGAAGCGUCACCAGAGCUGCUCCCUGCUGCCUGCUCAGAGCACCCCGGAUCCACUGUUCAAUCUGCACAAGAUUCGGGGUCCAGACAUGGGAGACUUCAGCUGCCUCAGAGGACCGUGGACAGGGAAGGCCAGCCUCGCAUCCCUCUGUCCAUGCCUGGAAUGACUUUAAUAACCAAGAGUUUUAUUUUUGAAUUUGUAGCUGUCGUUCACUUUUUACCCACCCAUUCAAUAAACCUUACAGAAUUGCUCCA
rnacentral:lncRNA from 1 species